rnacentral:rRNA from 1 species
GACGAACGCUGGCGGCGUGCUUAACACAUGCAAGUCGAACGGUAAGGCCCCCGCUUGCUGGGGAACACGAGUAGCGAACGGGUGAGUAACACGUGGCUGACCUGCCCCGCACUUUGGGCUAAGCCUGGGAAACUUGGUCCAAUACCGGAUAGGACCGCACCGUGAGGGUGUGGUGGAAAGUUUGUCGGUGUGGGAUGGGCCCGCGGCCUAUGAGCUUGUUGGUGGGGUAAUGGCCUACCAAGGCGGCGACGGGUAGCCGGCCUGAGAGGGUGGACGGCCACAUUGGGACUGAGGAACGGCCCAGACUGCUACGGGAGGCAGGAGUGGGGAAUAUUGCACAAUGGGCGGAAGCCUGAUGCAGCGACGCCGCGUGGGGGAUGACGGCCGUCGGGUUGUAAACUCCUUUCACCAUCGACGAAGGUUUUCUGACGGUAGAUGGAGAAGAAGCACCGGCUAACUACGUG